CCUGCGGCUCGCUGCGAAUAAUCGUCAGGCGCGAUACGCCUUCCGGCACGUUGUUGACUUCCCGACAGG
rnacentral:sRNA from 1 species